AAGGCGCUAGUAAAAUAGAUAAUUACAUUGCUUUGUCAAGGCAAAAUCGUGGGUUAAAUUCCCGCGCGCCUUA
rnacentral:tRNA from 1 species